UGGGGAAUUUUGGACAAUGGGCGCAAGCCUGAUCCAGCCAUGCCGCGUGCGGGAAGAAGGCCUUCGGGUUGUAAACCGCUUUUGUCAGGGAAGAAAUCUUCUGAGUUAAUACCUCGGGAGGAUGACGGUACCUGAAGAAUAAGCACCGGCUAACUACGUGCCAGCAGCCGCGGUAAUACGUAGGGUGCAAGCGUUAAUCGGAAUUACUGGGCGUAAAGCGUGCGCAGGCGGUUUUGUAAGACAGAGGUGAAAUCCCCGGGCUCAACCUGGGAACUGCCUUUGUGACUGCAAGGCUUGAGUGUGGCAGAGGGGGAUGGAAUUCCGCGUGUAGCAGUGAAAUGCGUAGAUAUGCGGAGGAACACCGAUGGCGAAGGCAAUCCCCUGGGCCUGCACUGACGCUCAUGCACGAAAAGCGUGGGGAGCAAAACAGGAUUANAGAAUCAGCCCUGGGUGACGUCCAACGCCCUAAAAACGAUGUCAACUGGUUGUUGGGAAGGUUCCUUCUCAGUAACGUAGCUAACGCGUGAAAGUUGACCGCCUGGGGAGUACGGCCGCAAGGUUGAAAACUCAAAUGAAUUGACGGGGUCAUAGCUGUUUCCUG
rnacentral:rRNA from 1 species